CGGCGAGUGAAGCGGCAACAGCUCAAAUUUGAAAGCUGGCCCUUUUAGGGUCCGCGUUGUAAUUUGUAGAGGAUGAUUCGGCGAGGGCUCCUGCCUAAGUCCCCUGGAACGGGGCGUCAUAGAGGGUGAGAAUCCCGUAUGCGGUAGGUUGCCUUAGCCAUGUGAAUCUCCUUCGACGAGUCGAGUUGUUUGGGAAUGCAGCUCUAAAUGGGAGGUAAAUUUCUUCUAAAGCUAAAUACCGGCCAGAGACCGAUAGCGCACAAGUAGAGUGAUCGAAAGAUGAAAAGCACUUUGGAAAGAGAGUUAAAAAGUACGUGAAAUUGUUGAAAGGGAAGCGCUUGCAACCAGACUUGUCCGCAGUUGCUCAGCCGGUCUCCUGACCGGCGUACUCUUCUGCGGCCAGGCCAGCAUCAGUUCGGGCGGUCGGAUAAAGGCCUCGGGAAUGUGGCUCCUCUCGGGGAGUGUUAUAGCCCGGGGUGCAAUGCGGCCAGCCUGGACUGAGGAACUCGCUUCGGCAAGGAUGCUGGCGUAAUGGUUGUAAGCGGCCCGUCUUGAAACACGGACCAAGGAGUCUAACAUCUAUGCGAGUGUUCGGGUGUCAAACCCGUACGCGUAAUGAAAGUGAACGGAGGUGGGAACCCGCAAGGGUGCACCAUCGGCCGAUCCUGAUGUCUUCGGAUGGAUUUGAGCAAGAGCAUAGCUGUUGGGACCCGAAAGAUGGUGAACUAUGCCUGAAUAGGGUGAAGCCAGAGGAAACUCUGGUGGAGGCUCGCAGCGGUUCUGACGUGCAAAUCGAUCGUCAAAUUUGGGUAUAGGGGCGAAAGACUAAUCGAACCAUCU
rnacentral:rRNA from 1 species